rnacentral:tRNA from 1 species
UCCCUGGUGGCUCAGACAGUAAAGAAUCUGUCUGUAAUGCAGGAGACCCAGGUUCGAUCCCUGGGUCGGGAA